UACGUAGGGUGCGAGCGUUGUCCGGAUUUAUUGGGCGUAAAGAGCUCGUAGGCGGUUUGUCACGUCGGCCGUGAAAACCUGGGGCUUAACUCUGGGCGUGCGGUCGAUACGGGCAUCACUAGAGUUCGGCAGGGGAGACUGGAAUUCCUGGUGUAGCGGUGAAAUGCGCAGAUAUCAGGAGGAACACCGGUGGCGAAGGCGGGUCUCUGGGCCGAUACUGACGCUGAGGAGCGAAAGCAUGGGGAGCGAACAGG
rnacentral:rRNA from 1 species